rnacentral:rRNA from 1 species
UACGAAGGGGGCUAGCGUUGUCCGGAAUCACUGGGCGUAAAGGGCGCGUAGGUGGCGUCGCAAGUCGAUGGUGAAAGCUCGGCGCUCAACGCCGAGUCGGCCCUUGAUACUGCGAGGCUGGAGCACUGUAGAGGCAGAUGGAAUCCGGGUGUAGCGGUGGAAUGCGUAGAGAUCGGGAGGAACACCAGAGGCGAAGGCGGCGACCUGGACAGGCACGUGACACUCAACUAC